GGGAACUCCCGCUCAGAGCCAGUGGCUGUCUCCUGCAGCUUCAUCGUUGCCGCCACAGGUUGUCGACUUCUUUGCACAGGAAUCAGCCACGGAGGUAGCCACAUCAUGAACAUGUGCAUCGAGGCCAGACCACACGCCCACAGGUUCUGGCUCCUGAGAUCUCUGAUGUUGGAGACCCUGAUGUGUCUGAGGAUAACCUGAGACAAAGUCAUGGGCUGCUUGCUGACGCCAAAAGCCACCACUUUGAAUGAGCUUAAACCGUUGCCAGCAUCGCUGGACAUGGGCAUGCAGGAGAUCACACCUCAUGUUGGGAAGUGAGUUCUCAGGCUCGAUUGUAAUACUAGUUAUCAAGAAAGUAUGUCACCCUAUUUAAACAAGAACAACCUGGCUUCUUAAAGGUGCGUAAGAAUGGCCACAGCUGGUACAGGGCUAAGCAGCAAGGAGCUUGGAGGAAACCCACAUUGUCUCCAGAAGGAACACAUCUGGAAAGGCUCCGUCCACUGCCAUGGCCAUCUGGACGGGGCGAGAUGAUGGACAGUGCAGAAGGAUACUGGAGGGGUGAAGCCAGGAUGUUUCGAGGACUUGCACAGCAGUGAGACAAAGGCAGCUCGAUCUCGUCACACGCCAGGCAGAGGCCCUGGAUGGGCCGGCCUGGACGCUCCAUUUCUCGCAGAGCUC